CCUCUGUUCCCAUUGGUUUGGAGCCGAAGCCCUCUUUACCAUGGCGGCCCCGCUUCGGCUGCGUUCGGCGCUCGCUCUGGUUACAGGUGCCGGCAGUGGCAUCGGCCGGGCAGUCAGCCUGCGUCUGGCCAGGGAAGGGGCCCUCGUGGCAGCAAGUGACCGAAAUGGGGCAGCGGCCAAGGAGACCAUACAGCUUCUGGAGGGGACGGGGAGCGAGGCUGGGGCUGGCCCCGGGUGUCAUGCUGCUUUCCAGGCUGAUGUAGCCGAGGCUGGGGCCGCACAGGGGCUGAUAGAGCAAAUCCAGGCCUGCUUCUCCCGUCCACCCUCAGUGGUGGUCUCUUGUGCCGGGAUCACCCGGGAUGAGUUUUUGCUCCGAAUGCCUGAAGAUUACUGGGAUGAAGUCAUUGCUGUCAACCUCAAGGGCACCUUUUUGGUCACUCAGGCUGCAGCUAGAGCCCUGGUAUCCAGCGGGUGUGGUGGCUCCAUCAUCAACAUCAGCAGCAUCAUAGCAAAGGUGGGGAACCUGGGGCAAGCAAACUAUGCAGCAUCCAAAGCUGGAGUAGAUGGAAUGACCCGAUGUGUGGCCCGAGAACUUGGACGACAUGGAAUCCGCUGUAACUCCAUCCUUCCAGGAUUCAUCAUAACACCCAUGACAAAGAAAGUACCACAGAAAGUAUUGGACCAGAUAACUCCACAAAUCCCGAUGGGCCAUCUGGGGGUUCCUGAGGGUGAGAAACAAGGGUAAAGAAAAGGGAGAAAAUACAGCCAGGGAAACACUGAAAGGGGGAGAUAGAAAUUGGGGUUUAGAUGUGGCAGAUGUGGUGGCAUUCCUGGCAUCAGAUGAUAGUGGAUACAUCACAGGGACCACUCUGGAGGUCACUGGAGGUCUCUUCAUGUAACUCCCACGGGGUCCCAGGACACUGAAAUCAUCUUUCCCCAAGCAGCACCGUGGCCAAACAAGGGAAGAUUCAGAAAGAGAGUGGGGGGCCAGCGACUAUAUAUUGGGGAGACAAGUUAUAUGAAAAGGGUGUCUGUGACCCUAAUAAAUUCCAAAUCUUCCUACCA